UAUGAUAUAUUAUCAUAUAUUAUUAGAUUCUAUUAUUAUUAUUAUUAUUACUAUUAAAUCCUAGAGUUGGGAGGGACCUCCAAAGGCAAUGCAUCCCAAACCAUUUUGCCAGAAAGGCAAGCACCAUCGAAACCUUACCGACAGAUGGCCACCCGGCCUUGCGGGCCAUGGCUGCGCGGGCUCCGUCCCGUCAUUCGUUCCUUCCCUGACAGGCCAUGAAGAGGAGAAAGAGAAGGAAGAUGUCUCCCUCCAGGCCGGCCUGAGGGAGAGGACCAGCCCUGAGGUGAUUCCUUGGAGAAGGACAUCUGCGAAGGGGGGCGGCUUCCGCUGAACAAGUAUCCCGAAUCUUUACAAUAAAAAUAAAUUAAAAUAAUUAGAUCUCUCUGUAUAGAUAUAUAAGUCUUAUUUCUAACUCUAACAGUCAACGUUGGCUGGGAAAUAACUAUCGAACCGCGUUGGAGGACGUAGACCCCGGCCUGCGGACCGUACGCAGCCCUUUGAGGUCCUUUCCUCAGCUUUCUGCCCUAAAGUUUAGACAAGUGAUUCCCAAAGUGGGGCGCUACUGCCCCCUGGUGGGCGCUGGAGCGAUCCAGGGGGCGGUGAUGGCACCUACCCUGUUUCCCCUAAAAUAAGACAUCCCCAGAAAAUAAGACCUAGUAGAAGUUUUGCUGAAUUGCUAAAUAUAAGGCCUCCCCCAAAAGUAAGACCUAGCAAAGGUUUUGUUUGGAAGCAUGUCCGCCAAACAGAACACCAGAGCAUGCAGGAUCGGUAAAUGUACGUACCAUAGAGUGUUGUACAUGGAAAUAAUGGUAGUAACAAGAAAUUCUUGAUAGGAUUCACAAUUUGUCUGGUUACGCUGGUUUGUGAUGACAACUACUGUACAGUAUAUAAUAAAUGUUCAUUUUUUUGUUCAACAAUAAAUGUGAAUUCUUCAUGGAAAAAUAAGACAUCCCCUGAAAAUAAGACCUACAGCAUCUUUGGGAGCAAAAAUUAAUAUAAGACACUGUCUUAUUUUUGGAGAAACACGGUAUUAGGACACGGGGGCGGGGCCUCUUCCCAAGUGUUGGAGACAGGGCUGAGCCCCUGAGGCACCUGUUAGGACACAGGGGGCGGAGCUAGAGGAGUGGGCGUGGCUUCCCAAGAGCCCAAGACAGUGCUGAGUAUCUAUACCUUUCCUGAGGCGCUUGUUGGGACACAGGGGGUGGAGCUAGGGAAGGGGGCGGGGCCUCCUUCCAAGAGCCCGAGACAUGGCUGAGCCUCUAUACCAGGGGUCCCCAAACUUUUUAAGCAGAGGGCCGGUCCACAAUCUUUCAGACUGUUGAGGGGUCGAUUUAUCAUUUGAAAAAAAUACAAACGAAUUCCUAUGCAUACUGCACAUGUCUUAUUUGUAGUGCAACAACAACAACAACGAAAGAACAAUACAAUAUUUAAAAAUGAAAACAAUUUUAAACAACAUAAACCUAUUAGGAUUUCAAUGGAAAGUGUGGGCCUGCUACUGGCCAAUGAGAUAGUCAAGUUAAUUAGGAUUGUUGUUGUUGUUGUGUGCCUUCAAGUCAUGUCAGAUUCUGGCCGAGCCUAAGUCUAAAAUUAAUUAUUUAUUUACUACAUUUAUAUCCCACCCUUCUCACCCCGAAGGGGACUCAGAGCAGCUGUAUGUACAUACAAUAUAUUAUAUUAUUAGCAUAACACAAUAUUAGCAUUAUAUAUUACUAUAUUGAACUAUAUCACUAUACUAUUCUAUAAUAUGUAAUAUAUAACAUAUAAUUAAUAUUAUUAUAUGGU
rnacentral:lncRNA from 11 species